UAAUACGUAGGGUGCAAGCGUUGUCCGGAAUUAUUGGGCGUAAAGAGCUCGUAGGCGGUCUGUCGCGUCGGCUGUGAAAACCCGGGGCUCAACCCCGGGCCUGCAGUCGAUACGGGCAGACUAGAGUUCGGCAGGGGAGACUGGAAUUCCUGGUGUAGCGGUGAAAUGCGCAGAUAUCAGGAGGAACACCGGUGGCGAAGGCGGGUCUCUGGGCCGAAACUGACGCUGAGGAGCGAAAGCGUGGGGAGCGAACAGGAUUAGAUACCCUGGUAGUCCACGCCGUAAACGUUGGGCGCUAGGUGUGGGGGACUUUCCACGUCCUCCGUGCCGCAGCUAACGCAUUAAGCGCCCCGCCUGGGGAGUACGGCCGCAAGGCUA
rnacentral:rRNA from 1 species